GGUCCCCCACGGUUCAUUUGAGGGCCAGCUACUGAAGGGUGAGCAUCACUUGGGCUGCUUGCCGUGUGGCCAGAGAUCCACAUCACCAGUUGGGUAUUGACUUGAUACAAUCUACUCAUCACUGGAAGGCAUCUCUUUAACUGGAGAAAGCAUUAUGUGAAAAUGGUGAAAUGGAGCUACGUGGAGUGAUCUGGACAGAGCUGUGGUCUCCGGCUGGCUGGGGCAGCAGAGCUGGUGAUGAGGAGAUGUGCAGAGAGAGCAAGCUUCUUAUUUGUCAAGGACAUUUGUACUUGUAGUGCCAGUAUUGUUGCAAGGCUGUGCACAUGCCUAAUAUUCUGCAUGGUGAGUGGCUCAUCAGGCUGUCAUUUCCAGACAGGUGUCUGGUUGUACUCUCAAAAAAUUCUGUAAUGGUUGGAAAGGCUGAUGAAGCUUCUUACAAGUUUUCUUCAUUUAUCAUGUAGCCUAGCCACUAUACUUUGCAUUGUGUGCUGUGCUUGAAGAUGUGUGAAACCUUAAAGAAAUUAGAACAAAAAUCACUUGAGUGCUUUGCUAUUCAAGCUCUUGAAAGUGGAUCUUUUCAAGGACCGUUACUUGAGAUUGUGAGAUCUCUCUGCUGUUUGACUCACCUUGUUCCUUUCUACUCUUGCCUCUUUUGUAUUUCUUUGUCUGAAUAUAUAAGCAACAAGGUUGUUGGCACUCCUCUGGGUUGACAGUGAAGCUGUUGACAAAAGAAUAAGGACUUGAUCUCUUCUGAGUUAUUGUUCCAGUCCUCAUGUGCAAGCUGCUGAGGAUAACCAUUGCAUCCCAGAGCCAAUUAGUACUUCUAUUUUUAACGCUUCUUUUCAAGCAGUAGAAGCUGUUGAUGUUUUAAGUGGUGUCAUUUUUUCAAGUGGGGGAGACUCUCGCCUGUGCAAGUACUUCCUAAGAGCUAGAUACUGAACAGUGCUGGGCAGUUAGUGCUCCAUACUGAAAUAUGUAAAAGUAGUUGUACAGAUUUGUAAAACUCACUGAAGUAGCGUAACUGAAAAAGAUUUACACCUUACAAGUAAAACAGCACUAUCUAAAGAGGCUGAUGUAAUAUGUAGCCACUCUCCUUCCAGCUUCAGCUGCUAGUUUUUGCUGGCAUGAUGUGUUCUAUGUAGUGCGCUCUCUCAACAUUUGCACAGGGAAUAGGAGAAAGGUUUGCUGAAUGAAAAUGAUUAAUUUAAAGGUCC